rnacentral:miRNA from 2 species
UGGAUUUCCCAUGAUCCGUAAC